UACGUAGGGUGCAAGCGUUGUCCGGAAUUAUUGGGCGUAAAGAGCUCGUAGGCGGUUUGUUGCGUCGGCUGUGAAAACCUGAGGCUCAACCUCAGGCCUGCAGUCGAUACGAGCAGACUAGAGUGUUGCAGGGGAGACUGGAAUUCCUGGUGUAGCGGUGAAAUGCGCAGAUAUCAGGAGGAACACCGGUGGCGAAGGCGGGUCUCUGGGCAACAACUGACGCUGAGGAGCGAAAGCGUGGGGAGCAAACGGG
rnacentral:rRNA from 1 species